rnacentral:rRNA from 1 species
AGCAGCCGCGGUAAUUCCAGCUCCAAUAGCGUAUAUUAAAGUUGUUGCAGUUAAAAAGCUCGUAGUUGAAUUUCGGGGUCAGUAAGUUGGUCGUGCCACUGGUAUGUACUGGCUUUACUGAUUCCUCCUUCUUGUAGAACCGUAAUGCCAUUAAGUUGGUGUUGCGGGAAAACAGGACUGUUACUUUGAAAAAAUUAGAGUGUUUAAAGCAAGCUAACGCUUGAAUACAUUAGCAUGGAAUAAUGAAAUAGGACGUUCGAUCCUAUUUUGUUGGUUUCUAGGAUUGACGUAAUGAUUAAUAGGGAUAGUUGGGGGGCAUUAGUAUUCAAUUGUCAGAGGUGAAAUUCUUGGAUUUAUUGAAGACUAACUACUGCGAAAGCAUUUUGCCAAGGAUGUUUUCAUUAAUCAAGAACGAAAGUUAGGGGGAUCGAAGGCGAUCAGAUACCGUCGUAGUCUUAACCAUAAACUAUGCCGACUAGGAAUCAGACGAUGUUAAUUUUUUAAUGACUCGUUUGGCACC